rnacentral:lncRNA from 1 species
CUAUGUAAUUAGUGGCAAUAUAGUAGAGGGCAUAGGCCAUGAGGAGAUCUUGAAUGAGGUAUCGAAAAGAAGUGACAAGUGACUUUUCAAAGCAAUGAGCAGGAAUGGCUUUCUUAAGGUCACCAAUGGUGAAUGGAGGUUUCUCAUGAGGGGCACGUCGAAGUGCUUCUGUUUGAGUUUUCUUGGCAUUAGGAGCAGACAUGCGUCCACCUGCACCCAUCUUUCCCUGGUGAAGAAUGCAAAUAUUGCUACUCUUCAACCUUGUUGCCUUUGUUAUGUGUUUAGUUGUUUCGUUGUUGUUAUUACCUCAGACCAGCUUGGAUAUUUAUAAGGAUGUCGAAAUUAGAAAUGAGUUAAAGUCCUUAAGGCCCGCCAGCCAGGGGAGGAGUUUGAACUUUGAAUAGAAAGAGUAGGAAAUUAAGUGGCGUGCUCGUGUACAAUUAUUAGUGUCACUACUGAAAUGUGCAGUCAUAAAAUGAGUGCUGCACCAAAAUUUUCUCUUAAAUUCCAGGUCCUGCUUGGCGGCUAUACUAUCUUCAUCAACUUAUUGUUGUCUUGUUAUGCUCUUUUAACAUGCAUAUCUUUUGAUAUCUUCUUUCUCAUAUUAUGCAUUUGCUAAGCUUACUCUAAUACCAAAUAAAGUAGCUGACAUGAUGAAAAAGCAAAUUAACACACCUAAUUUAUGUCUCAUCCGAAAACAGGCUCUUUGGGGGAAUUAUUCUUUAUCUAAUAAAUGAGGUAAAAUGAUUAAUAUUCGAUAAAAUGAGUAGUGAAUGAAAUAUUCCUGUUCCAUCUUUACAAUCAAUCAUCUUCAGUUCCUCAAGUUUACGCUUAAGUGGAAGUUAUUUCUAUUUACUUCCUCCGGAUUUACAGUUAGUCCCAAGAAAAGUGUGGCAGCUGGGCAUUAGUUCUAGCAUGCAGGUUCCAGGUUACGAGAUCAUUUAUCAUCAAAUUGCAGAGGCAUACUUAGCCAAGUUAAAUUAAUGUUGGAAACUGGGAUCAGAACUUUAAUUUAAGCUGCUUGAUGUUCCUUUUUCAGUUCACUCACUACUAGGGAUGGCAACGGGUCGGGUUUCAUGAGAUCUAGACCCGAUCCAUUAUAUUUCGGUUCGGGUCCGGGUCUGAAAAAUGAAGAUCCAGAUCCGAUCCGUCGGAUUUUUUCGGGUUUCGGUUCGGGUUCGGGUCUAAUUCGGAUAUUUAAAAAAAAUUAAAAAUUAUAUAUCUAUAAAAAAUGUGAUGGCUUAUUUUAAAAAAAAAUUAGGAAUAUAAAAAAGGACUUUACAUGUUUCAUUUAGUACAAUAAACACGUGAAACAUGCUAACUUAAUUAUAUACAAUCAUUCAACUUAUCAUUUAUAUUUUAUUAUAUUUAGAUUUUUUAAUGCACAAUAAUUGAGAAAAUUAAAAUAUUGAUGAAAUUAAUAUAUAAAUUAUGUAUUGCGCAUAUAAUAUUAAGUAAGAUGUUAAUACGCAUACAUAAUAAUUCAUAAUAUUUCAUAUAUAUACUUUACAUUUAACAAAUAAUAUAUAUAUAUAUAUAUAUAUAUAUAUAUAUAUAUAUAUAUAUAUAUAUUAUAUUUGUAUGUGGUUUUUAUUAAGAUCCAGAUCCAGAUCCAAACUUUUUCGGGUCUAAAAAUAAGAUCCAAAUCCGGAUCCAGAUCCACAAAAAUCGGGUUCGGAUAGAUCCAAUCGGGUCGGAACGGGUCGGGUAUCCAUCGGGUCGGGUAAAACUGCCAUCCCUACUCACUACUAUUGAAGUGAUAGUUUAUACUCCCUCCGUCUCAAUUUAUAAGUCCAGUUUGGAAAAAAAAAUUGUCCCAAAAUACUUGUCCCUCUCUUCUUUCAAUACAAAUUUAUCUACAUAUUAAUUGUGAUUUUUUUUGAAACUCAACAAUAUUCUCACUUAUCAAUGCACUAAUUAAUGAUACAUGAGAUAAGAUUCUAUCUAACUAACUUUUUUCUUAAUAUGUGUGUUUAUUCCAAAAUCGACUUAUAAAUUGAGACGGAGGGAGUAUUGAACUUCAUUUCAUGACAUUUUAUAACACUGGAAGUUGCUUCAUCACUUGUAUUGUGUACAAAUAAAAACACACAAAGCACUCAUAUUAAUCUGAGCUUAUACUGUGAUUAAUUUUGCAUUCAUCUUACUGAAUACAAUCUUAGUUUCAAUUUGCCAAAAGCCUCGAGGAACACAUCAAAUGGCUCAAUUCAGACCAAGUAUGCUAUGAAGAUUAAGACGACGCUGUCUGUAAAUAUUGUGCAACCAUGUAAACAUUCUGCCAGGACUGUUUCAAAUUGUUGUGUUUGCAAUAUAUGGGUAAAUCUGGGUAACUCAUAACUGUAAUGUCCAAGAUUUAAAUUACGACCUCUCCUAUUGCUACGUACAAUUAAAUAUGAGUUUCUGACUCAUAAACUGAAACAAGCUGCAAAACAGAAUUAUUUCCCAGUUACUUAAGCUUCUUCUUCUUCUACUUUAGUAGCAUAAAAAUCAAAUUGUUUGAUAUUACAAAAAUUCUGAAAAUUCUGUGUAUUGCAUUGAAAAUUUGUUUUCAACUACUUACCUUAUUGUACAACAUCACAUUAAACAAUCUAAAGUUACUAGGAUUCUAGGAAUAAAAGAAGACAAUGCAGAAAUAAGUGAAAGAAUUAAAUCGAGGUAGUCUCUAACACAUUGAGCUAAAUAUCCUUUCUGUACCAGUAGACUCCUUUGGUCUCGCCUUCAUCCUUCUCCACGUAAAUGCAUUCCUUCAUUUCUCUGUACAUGGCCUUAAGUAUUGGAGUUCCAUCAUACUGAUAAUAAUCGCCCAACACUGGCUUCAUGGCCUCUGUUGCUUCAAGUCCGUGGUAAUGUGGGAUCAUGGAGAAUAUGUGGUGACAGACAUGAGCAUUGCACACAUUGUGGAAUACCUUGUUCAAAAUUCCAUAAUCUCUGUCCACAGUGCAGAGAGCUCCCCUCAACCAAUCCCAUUCGGUUGAAUCGUAGUAAGGCACUGAGGGAUGAGUAUGGUUAAGGAUGGUGAUCAAUGUGAACCAUCCAUUGACAACAAGCAAUGGACCUCCAUAGACACAGAAAACCCAGACAAAUCCUUUGGCUAAUACUAGAUUGUACAGCCCAUAGAUAACAGCAAGAAUGGCAAGAUCAGACACAAUGAUCUGCUUGCGCUCACGUUCUGUGUAAAGAGGGCUGUGGGGAUCAUAAUGUGAAGUCCACCUCUCAUACUUGUGUCCAGAAACAUUGAACAUCAAAUAUAGAGGGAAACCUAUGAGAAGUGUGGUAACCCAGACAAGGACACGACCGGGUGGGUUGUUGAGAAUUUUGUAGUAGUUCCUGAUGUUGGACUUGAAUCUGGGAACGUAAACUUCAUCAUUCUCAAGCGACUGAGUGUUGGCGUGGUGACGUCUGUGGCUAAUUUUCCAAGAGAAAUAAGGGACCAUGAGAGAAGAGUGGACAAUAAGGCCAACAAGGUCAUUGAUCCAGCCAUAGUCACUGAAGGCAUCAUGAUCACACUCAUGGCCUACAACCCAAGCCCCGGUGAGGACACAGCCCUGUACAGCAAUGUAAACUGCCCAACCCAAGUAGUUGAUUGGAUGGGGUAAAUACUGGUCUAUGUAAUUUGUGGCAACAUAGUAAAGGGCAUAGGCCAUGAGGAGAUCUUGAAUAAGAUAUCGGAAAGAAGUGAUGAGUGAUUUUUCGAAGCAAUGAGCAGGAAUGGCUUUCUUGAGGUCACCUAUGGUGAAAGGGGGUUUCUCAUGAGGAGCACGUCGAAGUGCUUCUGUUUCAGUUUUUUUGCCUUUAGGAGGAUCCGACAUUCGCCCACCUGCACCCAUUGCCCCUCACAAAAGAAGAUGCAAAUGUUGCUACUCUUCAAGUCACUCUUGGUUUUUGUUGUGUGUUUAGCUGAAGUUGCUCUGUAUUUCCUUAGAACGGGCUCGCUUGUAGAUUUAUAGGAAUGUAUGAUAUCAACAUGUGCGUAGAUAGAAGUGUGGUGAAGCUUAAAGCGCCCGCCAGCCCGCCAGGCAAGGAAAAGUUUGAAUAAACAACUUUGAAUUUGUUAGUGUGUUGGAAUAAAAGAGUAGGAAAUUGCACUAGUUCAGUCGUUUUCAAUGUGUGUUUUAGAGAAGUAUGCCCACAUGAACUGAUUGAGUCGCUAUGUUUUCUCUACGUUUCAAGGUCUCCCUGGGCGGCUGUACUUUCAUAAAUUAUACUCCCUCCGUCCCUCGUGCUAGUUUACGUGCACUGUUUGCACGCAUUUCGAAACUCUUAUAAAGUAUUGUAUUAUAAUUUUUUUUGAAUAAAAGUUUAAACAUCAAACUUUUAUUCAGAGAAAUAAAAAUUAAAAAAUAUAUUAUGAAACUAUACUUUAAAUGAGUGUGGAAAAACGUGCCAAAAAAUAACGUAAAGAAAAUGAGGGGACAGAGCGAGUACUCUUUUAACAUGCAUACUUUUUGUUUUUUUCCCUGAUUUUAUUCGUUUAGUUAUUACAAUAACAGAUACGGUAGCUGACGUUAGCCUAGAAAAUCAUACAUAUCAGAACUGCAAGCAUAUAAUUUGAACUGAUAACGUUUCACUAAUUUAACAUUCAGAACCAGCAGCUUUUUCAUUUUGAUCGAUAGUAGUUUAUGCAUUCGAGUUGAAGAUUGGAAAAUACAAACAAUAGAGAAAUGAUUUUUGAGAGCAACACAAACUUCUGCAUAACAAGUCACUUUCACAAGGAAACUUACAAUGACUCCCCACAAGCUAGACCAAGUGCUUUAAAAAGAGACGAGGCUGAAUUCAAAUCUCAUUUGCAGCUCCUCGUUGUUCACUGGACUGAAGUCGAGUUGUUAACAGUACGUUUUAACUUAUCAGAUACCUAAAUGAUAAGGGGUGAAAUAGAGAUAUACCGUUAAUCAGUAAAAUAUAGCACAGCUAGUUUUUCAAAAGGAACAAUGUUUUGGUUAAGAAACAGAAUCAGAAAAUCCUAUCGUAAAGGCUGAUGCAUUAAUAUGUUGUUAUGUUCAUGCAAAAUAUUACCUUGCUCCUUACAACUAAAAAAAGGAGCUGUCAGACAGACUUCUUGGAUCCAACUGCUGGCGACGAGCUGGCUGUUUAAAACUUCCCUGGCCAUUGAGAGCCACGGACUAGGACCCAUAAUAAAAUCCUUAUUUCCUCUGUUCUUUUCAGUUUAAAAGUUUUUCAUAUCAUAUAGGCAGUUUCGGGCAAUUUAUCAUAGAGGAAGACGCUGCUGUUUACAACGCAUUGAUAAAGAGCGCGGAGCACCCUGUAUGUUUGAGGAGUCUCUGAUUAGGCUUAAAAAGAUUAUUUUUUGUACCAAAGAACUCAUGGUUCAAUGAUAUUUUCCUCGAUCUACUUGCAGGAUAUUGAGGUACCAUUUGAAAGAAAUUAGUUCGUAUGUUAUUCGGCAAUCUCCACAAAGACACAAAAUAUUCAUUUUUACCCUUAAAAUUAAUUUAAACUUGCAUUUUUUUAAUUUGUCUACUAAUUUCAUUCACCAGAACACACUGAUUAGGCAAAAGAUAGCUGAAUCCGGACCAAUUUUUUUUCAUCAAGAUUUAUAUAAAGUUGUCAGUAGCCAAUAAAAAUGAGUGACCUGUGAUCAACUAAAUUAUCUAAAGCUGUCGAGCUGUGAUAUCUUGAUGAUUUCUGGGUCAUCGUAACAUAUCAAAUAAAACGCCUCUCCUCUCUUACGAGUACAAAUCUUGUUUGGUUAUGUUUUUCCCAGACCCAGACUGAGAACUCUGUACUUGAAGAUACCUUUUCUGGUAAAGAAAUGGCAAGUCCCACCGCCCUGAAUCCGUACUCAUCAGCAAAAGGGAACUGAUUCAACAUCGGGUGGUAUGCAGAUAUCAAGACUACUGCAGACAAUUAGCUAGCUUCAUUUACCUGAAUAACCUCAUUCGUUUCAAGUCUUAAACUUGAAACUGAUGACUAAAUAUAUGCCAUUUUUAUAUGAAAUUAUAUUCUUUUGCUCGGCCAUUAAAUUAAACCAAAAGGACAGUCAACAUUAAGAAGGGAGAAUUUAAGCACGACUGCGAAGUGCAUAUAAUCAGAAAGGAAAGUUACUCCUGAUCUUGAACAGAUGAAAGGUUAUAUAUAACUCUUUAUGUAAUUGUAACACAUUUGACCCUAACGAUCUAAAGUUGGCAGGAUCAAUGGAAGGCAAUGCGAAGACAAGUGAAAGAAUAAGAUUCUUGUAAUACCAAGCACUUAAAACUAAAUAUCCUUUUUGUACCAGUAGACUCCUUUGGUCUCGCCUUCAUCUUUCUCCACGUAAAUGCAUUCCUUCAUUUCUCUGUACAUUGCCUUGAGAAUCGGAGUUCCAUCAUACUGAUAAUAUUCACCCAAUACAGGCUUCAUGGCCUCUGUGGCUUCGAGUCCGUGGUAAUGUGGGAUCAUGGAGAAUAUGUGGUGACACACAUGAGCAUUGCACACAUUGUGGAAUACCUUGUUCAAAAUUCCAUAAUCUCUGUCCACAGUGCAGAGAGCUCCCCUCAACCAAUCCCAUUCGGUUGAAUCAUAGUAAGGCACAGAGGGAUGAGUGUGGUUGAGGAUGGUGAUCAAUGUGAACCAUCCGUUGACAACGAGCAACGGACCUCCAUAAACACAGAAAACCCAGACAAAUCCUUUGGCUAAUACUAGAUUGUACAGCCCAUAGAUAACAGCAAGAAUGGCAAGAUCAGACACAAUGAUCUGCUUGCGCUCACGUUCUGUGUAAAGAGGGCUAUGGGGAUCAUAGUGUGAAGUCCACCUCUCAUACUUGUGUCCCGAAACAUUGAACAUCAAGUAUAUUGGGAAGCCUAUGAGGAGUGUGAUAAGCCAGACGAGGACACGGCCUGGUGGAUUGUUGAGAAUUUUGUAGUAGUUCCGGAUGUUGGACUUGAAUCUAGGGACAUACACCUCAUCAUUUUCAAGGGAUUGAGUAUUGGCAUGGUGACGACGGUGACUAAUUUUCCAAGAGAAGUAUGGCACCAAGAGAGAAGAAUGGACAACAAGGCCAACGAGAUCAUUAAUCCAAUUAUAAUUGCUGAAUGCAUCAUGAUCACAUUCAUGACCCACAACCCAGGCCCCUGUUAACACACAGCCUUGAACAGCAAUAUAAGCUGCCCAACCCAAGUAGUUGAUUGGAUAAGGAAGAUAUUGGUCGAUGUAAUUAGUAGCGACAUAGUAGAGGGCAUAGGCCAUCAGAAGAUCCUGAAUGAGAUAUCGAAAAGAAGUGACUAAAGAUUUUUCAAAGCAAUGGGCAGGAAUGGCUUUCUUGAGGUCACCAAUGGUGAAAGGAGGUUUCUCAUGAGGAGCACGUCGAAGUGCCUCUGUUUCAGUUUUUUUGACACUAGAGGGAGCAGACAUACGCCCACCUGCACCCAUUUUUUCUUUCGAAGAAUAUGCAAAUGCUCUUCUUCCUCUCCUUCUGGUGUGUUU